rnacentral:tRNA from 1 species
GGAGUAUAGCUCAGCAGGUUAGAGUGCUUGCUUGACAUGCAAGAAGUCACUGGUUCAAGUCCAGUUAUUCCC